rnacentral:rRNA from 1 species
UGGCGGACGGGUGAGUAACACGUACGUGACCUGACCCGGAGUGGGGGAUACCGGUCCGAAAGGGCCGCUAAUACCGCAUGUGGUCAUCGGGGAUGCCCGGUGAAGGAAGGCUCGGCGCAAGUCGGGUCGCUCCGGGAGGGGCGUGCGGCCGAUUAGCUUGUUGGUGGGGUAACGGCCUACCAAGGCGACGAUCGGUAGCUGGGCUGAGAGGCCGAACAGCCACACUGGGACUGCGACACGGCCCCG